rnacentral:rRNA from 1 species
UACCAGCACCCCGAGUGGUCGGGACGAUUAUUGGGCCUAAAGCAUCCGUAGCCGGCCUUACAAGUCCUCCGUUAAAUCCAGCUGCUUAACAGAUGGGCUGCGGAGGAUACUAUAAGACUAGGAGGCAGGAGAGGCAAGCGGUACUCAGUGGGUAGGGGUAAAAUCCGUUGAUCCAUUGAAGACCACCAGUGGCGAAGGCGGCUUGCCAGAAUGCGCUCGACGGUGAGGGAUGAAAGCUGGGGGAGCAAACAGGG